rnacentral:lncRNA from 1 species
UGUGAUGGACGCGAUUAUUAUAACCAUCACGAAAGCAGGCCACUAUCCCAGGAUAGAACCUGCAUACCAAAUAGAUAUUAAUGGAUAUUCAUGGACGCGAUUUUGAUAGAUACACGUCACACAGGCACACCGAUCCAUCGACAGGCCGGUGGGGGGAUUUAAAGGCAGGUUAACACAUGUGAUUCUAUUGAAUUUUCUCUCUUGAAUGUCACGGCGGCCCGGGAGUGUCAAAUCGCAUCCGAUGUCGGCAAUAAGUUUUCUUUUUGCUACUAUUUGUGUUCUUGUUUUCCUUUAAUCCUUUUCGAGAAAAACGAUAUUUAGGUUAUCGCGGAU